CCACCCACACGCAGACCAACAAGACUUCCAGCUUCUGCUGCAGCGUGCGGCGCCAAGCAGGGCCGCCUUACCCAGUGACCACCAUCAUCGCUCCGCCGGGCCACACAGGCGUCGCCUGCUCUUGCCACCAGUGCCUCAGUGGCAGCAGAACUGGCCCUGUAUCAGGCCGCUACCGCCACUCCAUGACCAACCUCCCUGCAUACCCCGCCCCCCAGCACCCCCCCCACAGGACCGCUUCUGUGUUUGGGACCCACCAGGCCUUUGCACCAUACAACAAACCCUCACUCUCCGGGGCCCGGUCUGCGCCCAGGCUGAACACCACGAACGCCUGGGACGCAGCUCCUCCUUCCCUGGGGAGCCAGCCCCUCUACCGCUCCAGCCUCUCCCACCUGGGACCGCAGCACCUGCCCCCAGGAUCCUCCACCUCCGGUGCAGUCAGUGCCUCCCUCCCCAGCGGUCCCUCAAGCAGCCCAGGGAGCGUCCCUGCCACUGUGCCCAUGCAGAUGCCAAAGCCCAGCAGAGUCCAGCAGGCGCUCGCAGGAGCGACCCCGAAGCCAGAGCCAGAGCCAGAGCAGGUCAUAAAAAACUACACGGAAGAGCUGAAAGUGCCCCCAGAUGAGGACUGCAUCAUCUGCAUGGAGAAGCUGUCCGCAGCGUCUGGAUACAGCGAUGUGACUGACAGCAAGGCAAUCGGGCCCCUGGCUGUGGGCUGCCUCACCAAGUGCAGCCACGCCUUCCACCUGCUGUGCCUCCUGGCCAUGUACUGCAACGGCAAUAAGGGCCCUGAGCACCCCAAUCCCGGAAAGCCGUUCACUGCCAGAGGGUUUCCCCGCCAGUGCUACCUUCCAGACAACGCCCAGGGCCGCAAGCCUCCAGGGGCUUCCAGAACCCGGAGACACUGGCUGACAUUCCGGCCUCCCCACAGCUGCUGACCGAUGGCCACUACAUGACGCUGCCCGUGUCUCCGGACCAGCUGCCCUGUGACGACCCCAUGGCGGGCAGCGGAGGCGCCCCCGUGCUGCGGGUGGGCCAUGACCACGGCUGCCACCAGCAGCCCUUCUGCAACGCGCCCCUCCCUGGCCCUGGACCCUAUCGUACAGAACCUGCUAAGGCCAUCAAACCUAUUGAUCGGAAGUCAGUCCAUCAGAUUUGCUCUGGGCCAGUGGUACUGAGUCUAAGCACUGCAGUGAAGGAGUUAGUAGAAAACAGUCUGGAUGCUGGUGCCACUAAUAUUGAUCUAAAGCUUAAGGACUAUGGAAUGGAUCUCAUUGAAGUUUCAGGCAAUGGAUGUGGGGUAGAAGAAGAAAACUUCGAAGGCUUAAUGAUGUCACCAUUUCUACCUGCCACGUAUCGGCGAAGGUUGGGACUCGACUGGUGUUUGAUCACGAUGGGAAAAUCAUCCAGAAAACCCCCUACCCCCACCCCAGAGGGACCACAGUCAGCGUGAAGCAGUUAUUUUCUACGCUACCUGUGCGCCAUAAGGAAUUUCAAAGGAAUAUUAAGAAGAAACGUGCCUGCUUCCCCUUCGCCUUCUGCCGUGAUUGUCAGCUUCUUGAGGGCUCCCCAGCCAUGCUUCCUGUACAGCCUGCAAAACUGACUCCUAGAAGUACCCCACCCCACCCCUGCUCCUUGGAGGACAACGUGAUCACUGUAUUCAGCUCCAUCAAGAAUGGUCCAGGUUCUUCUAGAUGAUCUGCACAAAUGGUUCCUCUCCUCCUUCCUGAUGUCUGCCAUUAGCAUUGGAAUAAAGUUCCUGCUGAAAA